AUGCGACAGCACUGGUGCAGCUUCUCCAGGCUUCCCAUGGCCUCCCUCCUGGCAUUGAUGAUACUGCUGGGGAAAGCCUCUCCUACCCUCCUUUCCACUGAAAAGCCUGCAAAUGGUGAGGGAGUCCGACUCCUAAGGAGAGUGGAAUCCCACAAUUAUGAAUUGAAUAUUCAUGAACAAGCUCUCCCAAUAUCCUUCCUUUGGAUGGUCUGGAGGGACCAUAGUCCCACACAAAAGGCCUGGACUUUAUUUAAACUACAUUGGGCAAUAUAGAGUACAUGCUAGCACUUCCGUAAACCUUUCUUACUCCCCAUUUAUGGCCGUUCUUCAUGUGAUCUUUAUGUGAGCCAGAACUCGGAUACCAGAGUGCACAGAAAGCUUCCACAUGAGGAAAGAAGAUGGCUGGCUAAUCACCUGGAAAACUGAACAGGAGCAUUUCAAGACUGUGACAUUUCAUUGCAGGUCUCCCUUUAUGUUUGAAUUGCAAGAUAUCCUGGCAAUUAUUUCUCUCUGUCCAAGCAUUUCAGAACAUCUGUUUACUUUGCAAAGAAACUGCCAGUGUGAUGAGAGGUGAAUUGAUUCAAUCUGUGCUACUUUUCUUUAACUCUUGAGGAUCACUGGUCAACACACAUCUGUUAUCACUUACCAAGAUCAUACAGCCAUGGAAUUUGGUGGUUUUGGCAUGCCCAUGAAUAACCCUUACAUUUUUUCCCAUCCAAUCCAGAUCUUUCCAUCUCAGUGAUUAUUUGGGGCCAGACCAUAAAUAAAUCAAGGAUGAAUACAGAGAAAAAUGUAUUAAAGAUUGACCAUCAGUCUUUACACUUGGAGACACUUCCAUACUUUCUAAUUCAAUGCAUGAUCCAAAACACAAUUGGCUAUCCAUAUCUGCAUUUUUUUUAAAUUUCACUCCAGUUAAAAUUAUACAAGCAUGUACAUGUUUGUAAAAUUACCUUACAUAAAUAUCAGACAUAUUUAUCUUGGUGAAACCUUUAGAUAAAAUCCUAAAUAUUAAGAAAAAUAUGCAUGGAAGUAUGCAAAAUUUCUUGUAGAUUUGCUUUUUAAAAAAAUAAAAAAUAAAAUCCAAGCUGUUCUGGAAAUGGAACAAAAUAAUUUUAAGGUCAGAGAAGAAAAAAUGAGAGAAAACCCAAAAAUGCCAGAGCUAGAAAUUCACAGAAAAAGUGCUAAUGGAAAUUAGCUUUACUUGGCCAUCAGAUUCAAAAGCACUGUGAUUGUUGAAUUUGGAUCUUCAGAAAUCACCAGCGUCCAUUCAGAAAGGUACACCCAAAAUAUCAGUAGUUUUCACCAGCAUUGAUGUAGCAGUGCUAGCUGGAGAUUCUGGGAAUUGUAGUUAAAAUUAUUAUUUCUUACCCGCCUCUGCUUGUAGGUUGAGUUGGAUUACAGAAUAAUUAAAACACAAACAUUGUAAAAAUACCACAAAUAAACAUAUUCAAAUGUGUUUGUAUAAAAUAUACUUAAUAAAAUGUGUUUCUAUAAAAUACAUAUUAAAAUACAGAGAUUAAACCAAGGACGCACAUUUAAAAUUCAUAUUUAAAAAUUGGGUGGGUGAUGAAAAGGUGCUCUGGGUGAUGAAAAGGUGCUCUGGGUGAUGGUUGCCAGUUGGGUUAUGGUUGGUUGGAG
rnacentral:lncRNA from 1 species